rnacentral:rRNA from 1 species
CCUACGGGAGGCAGCAGUGGGGAAUAUUGGGCAAUGGGCGCAAGCCUGACCCAGCAACGCCGCGUGAAGGAAGAAGGCUUUCGGGUUGUAAACUUCUUUUAAGAGGGAAGAGCAGAAGACGGUACCUCUUGAAUAAGCCACGGCUAACUACGUGCCAGCAGCCGCGGUAAUACGUAGGGGGCAAGCGUUGUCCGGAUUUACUGGGUGUAAAGGGCGUGCAGCCGGGAAGACAAGUCAGAUGGGAAAGCCCGCGGCUCAACCGCGGAACUGCAUUUGAAACUGUUUUGCUUGAGUACCGGAGAGGUCAGCGGAAUUCCUUGUGUAGCGGUGAAAUGCGUAGAUAUAAGGAAGAACACCAGUGGCGAAGGCGGAUGACUGGACGGCAACUGACGGUGAGGCGCGAAAGCGUGGGGAGCAAACAGGAUUAGAUACCCGAGUAGUC